CCUACGGGAGGCAGCAGUGGGGAAUUUUGGACAAUGGGCGCAAGCCUGAUCCAGCCAUGCCGCGUGCGGGAAGAAGGCCUUCGGGUUGUAAACCGCUUUUGUCAGGGAAGAAAAGGUUCUGGUUAAUACCUGGGACUCAUGACGGUACCUGAAGAAUAGGCACCGGCUAACUACGUGCCAGCAGCCGCGGUAAUACGUAGGGUGCAAGCGUUAAUCGGAAUUACUGGGCGUAAAGCGUGCGCAGGCGGUUAUGCAAGACAGAUGUGAAAUCCCCGGGCUCAACCUGGGAACUGCAUUUGUGACUGCAUAGCUAGAGUACGGUAGAGGGGGGAUGGAAUUCCGCGUGUAGCAGUGAAAUGCGUAGAUAUGCGGAGGAACACCGAUGGCGAAGGCAAUCCCCUGGACCUGUACUGACGCUCAUGCACGAAAGCGUGGGGAGCAAACAGGAUUAGAUACCCUGGUAGUCCACGCCCUAAACGAUGUCAACUGGUUGUUGGGAGGGUUUCUUCUCAGUAACGAAGCUAACGCGUGAAGUUGACCGCCUGGGGAGUACGGCCGCAAGGUUGAAACGUUAAAUUGAAUUGACGNGNGNGAGNGCGAGGCGACGACGAGGAGAGG
rnacentral:rRNA from 1 species